GGAAGGAGCCCGGGGAUGGAGGGAUGGGGGAAGGAAAGGGAGGAUGCUUUGCCCUGGCCUCACCUCAGCUCGGUGGGUGGGGACGGGCGAGCCCCUCGCCUCCUGCUCCUCCCCAGCAGCCGCGAUGGUCACUAACGGGCCGGGGGUGCGGUGCGGCUCCCCUCACCCAGCGCCGGGUCCCCGCCUCCUGCUCUCGCCCCGUCCCCGCCUCCUGCUGCCCGAGCCGCGCUCGCUGGGCUCUGAGGGAGCCGGGAGCCGCCGCCGCUAGGGGAGGAGGGAGCGCGCCUGCGCCACCGCCCGGGCGGCGAGACGGGAGGAGGCAGCGGGGCCGCCGGCGGCUCCAGUGCCCGGGGAGGGGGAGUCCGGUCCCGGCCCGGCUACCUGAGAGCGGCGCGGGGCUCGGGCGGCCUCAGUGCGCAGGUGCGCCAAGAGCAGCAGAAGUGACCAUGGAAGAGGCAGCGGGAGGGAGAAUCCAGAGCCCACUUGCCAGGAGUCAGUACAGGAGGAAAUGGGAGAGCUUGGAGGCAGAUGCCAUCCUAGAGAAAAAUCUUGAGAGCAAGUCUUUCAGCCACAAGAAACCAAUCGACUGUUCCUAA
rnacentral:lncRNA from 1 species